rnacentral:tRNA from 1 species
GGGCCUAUAGCUCAGUCGGUUAGAGCGCGCGCCUGAUAAGCGCGAGGUCACUGGUUCAACUCCAGUUAGGCCCA